rnacentral:rRNA from 1 species
GAUGAACGCUAGCUACAGGCUUAACACAUGCAAGUCGAGGGGAAACGAUAUUGGAAGCUUGCUUCCGAUAGGCGUCGACCGGCGCACGGGUGAGUAACGCGUAUCCAACCUGCCCAUCACUUGGGGAUAACCUUGCGAAAGUAAGACUAAUACCCAAUGACGUCUCUAGAAGACAUCUGAAGGAGAUUAAAGAUUUAUCGGUGAUGGAUGGGGAUGCGUCUGGUUAGCUUGUUGGCGGGGUAACGGCCCACCAAGGCGACGAUCAGUAGGGGUUCUGAGAGGAAGGUCCCCCACAUUGGACCUGAGACACGGUCCGAACUCCUACGGGAGGCAGCAGUGAGGAAUAUUGGUCAAUGGGCGAGAGCUUGAACCAGCCAAGUAGCGUGCAGGAAGACGGCCCUAUGGGUUGUAAGCUGCUUUUAUAAGGGAAUAAAGUGGGAGUCGUGACUCCUUUUGCAUGUACCUUAUGAAUAAGGACCGGCUAAUUCCGUGCCAGCCGCCGCGGUAA